GAAAUGACUAUUAGCAAGAAAAUGUUAAUCGUUGUAUCAGAGUGUUGAGAAAGCUUCUCCUAGAGUUAAGAGAAAAGAAAAGAAUGAUAUGAAAAAGAGUUUGAAAGAUUCAUGAGUGCAAAGGGUAGAGUUAAGUUCUUGUAUUGGGACUGGAGUUGGGAUUACCAUUAGAGCUUCAUUGUUAUACUCUGGGUAGAUGGGAUCUUAUCUCUGUAUGCAUAACUUGGGACUUACCUUUAACUACUAAAGCUCAAUCAUUCUUGUGAGAUCCCCUGUUACUUAAGCUUAUUCUGUGAGGGACCAUCUUUGUCUCUUGACCUUCACCUUAGCCAAAUGAGUUCAUUGAUGAUGCAUUGCUUGAUUCACGUUCCAGAACUAAUGAAUGUUAAAGGGAUUGGUAGAUUUGAAAGCAUGUGUAGGUCGAGUAUAAGAGACGGAUUGAUUGAUAACAAGGCAUGGCUAACGUUUUUGAGUAAAAUUCAAUCAUAUCGCAUCUUAGAACUACCAACUUGGACAUUGAUUUUAUUUGCUCUACUUGAUUCUUUGGCUGAGUCCCCACCUUCAAACCUCUCCUUCAACUAUGUAUUCUUAUUUGCUUGAGGGCAAGCAAAGACUAAGUUUGGGAGAAUUG
rnacentral:sRNA from 1 species